rnacentral:rRNA from 1 species
GCAAGUCGAGCGGAAACGAUGGGAGCUUGCUCUGCGCUGACGAGUGGCGGACGGGUGCGUAACGCGUGGGAAUCUACCUUAUAGUGGGGGAUAGCCCGGAGAAAUCCGGAUUAAUACCGCAUAAGCCCUACGGGGGAAAAGGGGCCUCUCCUUGGAAGCUCUUGCUAUUAGAUGAGCCCGCGUAAGAUUAGCUUGUUGGUGGGGUAAUGGCUCACCAAGGCAACGAUCUUUAGCUGGUUUGAGAGGAUGAUC